rnacentral:misc_RNA from 1 species
AAGGAUCAUUCACAAACGAGUGUUUUAUGGCACUCUUUAAAAAUCCAUAUCCACCUUGUGUGCAAUGUUUGUUGGGAAAGUCUUUUCUUUCCCUUCAUAAAUAUCAACCUAUAUCUUUAACAACAUUCGUCUGAUAACAUAUUAUGAAUAUACUUAAUUCAAAAUAUAACUUUCAACAACGGAUCUCUUGGCUCUC